ACCAAGAGUGACAGACGUGAAACAAACUCACUUCUCAGCUGGUAACUCAAACAAUGAGUUGGUUUCAGAGGCUAUUUACAAACUCUGGAGAAGAAGAACUUCAGAAAAAAGUUGGU
rnacentral:lncRNA from 1 species